GGAUCUUAGUCUGUCUUUGGCAGAGUACUCCUUGUUUGGCUCCAUCUUGACUUUUGGUGCGAUGAUUGGCGCAAUAACAAGUGGUCCUAUUGCUGAUUUAGUUGGACGAAAGGGGGCAAUGAGAGUAUCAAGUGCUUUCUGUAUUGCAGGAUGGCUUGUUAUUUAUUUUUCAAAGGUUCUUACUACAGAACCUAUGAGAUUUUCUUGGUCAUAACUGUUCUCCAAGGAUUAUCUGAGUUUUCCUCUUUUUCUCUUAUAUAUAUUUAGGGUCCAGUUUCUUUGGAUAUUGGGAGACUAGCAACAGGAUAUGGAAUGGGAGUUUUUUCUUAUGUGGUUCCUGUCUUCAUAGCAGAAAUUGCGCCAAAAGAACGCCGAG